rnacentral:rRNA from 1 species
UACGGAGUUAGCCGGAGCUUAUUCUCCAGGUACUGUCAUUAUCAUCCCUGGUAAAAGAGCUUUACAACCCUAAGGCCUUCAUCACUCACGCGGCAUUGCUGGAUCAGGCUUUCGCCCAUUGUCCAAUAUUCCCCACUGCUGCCUCCCGUAGGAGUCUGGGCCGUGUCUCAGUCCCAGUGUGGCUGAUCAUCCUCUCAGACCAGCUAAAGAUCGUCGCCUUGGUAGGCCUUUACCCCACCAACUAGCUAAUCUUACGCGGGCUCAUCCUUGGGCGAUAAAUCUUUGGUCCGAAGACAUUAUACGGUAUUAGCACAAAUUUCUCUGAGUUAUUCCGUACCCAAGGGCAGAUUCCCACGCGUUACGCACCCGUGCGCCACUAAGUCCGAAGACUUCGUUCGACUUGCAUGUGUUAGGCAUGCCGCCAGCGUUCGUUCUGAGCCAGGAUCAAACUCU